rnacentral:rRNA from 1 species
UACAGAGGGUGCGAGCGUUGUCCGGAAUCACUGGGCGUAAAGGGCGCGUAGGUGGCGGCCCAAGUCCAUGGUGAAAGCUCGAUGCUCAACAUCGAGUCGGCCACGGAUACUGGGUUGCUCGAGCACUGUAGGGGCAGAUGGAAUUCCGGGUGUAGCGGUGGAAUGCGUAGAGAUCCGGAAGAACACCGGUGGCGAAGGCGGGACUCUGGGCCGAGUACGUGACGCUGAGGAGCGAAAGCGUGGGGAGCAAACAGGG